AUUGAACGCUGGCGGAAUGCUUUACACAUGCAAGUCGAACGGCAGCACGGGAGCUUGCUCCUGGUGGCGAGUGGCGAACGGGUGAGUAACAUAUCGGAACGUACCCAGUAAUGGGGGAAUAACUAGUCGAAAGAUUAGCUAAUACCGCAUACGCCCUGAGGGGGUAAANCGGGGGUAUCGUAAGACCUCGCGUUAUUGGAGCGGCCGAUAUCUGAUUAGCUAGUUGGUGGGGUAAAGCCUACCAAGGCGACGAUCAGUAGCUGGUCUGAGAGGACGACCAGCCACACUGGAACUGAGACACGGUCCAGACUCCUACGGGGAGGCAGCAGUGGGGAAAUUUUUGGGCACAAUGGGCGCAAGCCUGAUCCAGCCAUCCGCGUGAGUGAAGAAGGCCUCGGUUGU
rnacentral:rRNA from 1 species